GAUGAACGCUAGCGGCAGGCCUAACACAUGCAAGUCGAGGGGUAGCAGGAUUAAGCUUACUUAAUUGCUGACGACCGGCGCACGGGUGCGUAACGCGUAUGCAACCUACCUUAUACUGGGGUAUAGCCCGGAGAAAUUCGGAUUAAUCCCCCAUAGUACUAAUGAAUCGCAUGGUUUAUUAGUUAAAGCAUUGCGGUAUAAGAUGGGCAUGCGUCCUAUUAGCUAGAUGGUGAGGUAACGGCUCACCAUGGCUACGAUAGGUAGGGGGCCUGAGGGGGUGGUCCCCCACACUGGUACUGAGACACGGACCAGACUCCUACGGGAGGCAGCAGUGAGGAAUAUUGGUCAAUGGGCGCAAGCCUGAACCAGCCAUGCCGCGUGCAGGAAGAAUGCCCUAUGGGUUGUAAACUGCUUUUAUUUGGGAAUAAACCUCUUUACGUGUAGAGAGCUGAAGGUACCAAAUGAAUAAGCACCGGCUAACUCCGUGCCAGCAGCCGCAGUAA
rnacentral:rRNA from 1 species